rnacentral:rRNA from 1 species
UGAUUGAUUGGGGCUGCUCCUAGUACGAGAGGACCGGAGUGGACGCAUCACUGGUGUUCCAGUUGUCUCGCCAGAGGCAUUGCUGGGUAGCUAAAUGCGGAAGAGAUAAGUGCUGAAAGCAUCUAAGCACGAAACUUGCCAAGAGAUGAGUCAUCCCUGACUUUAAGUCAGUAAGGGUUGUUGUAGACUACGACGUAGAUAGGUUGGGUGUGUAAGUGUAGUGAUACAUUGAGCUAACCAAUACUAAUUGCCCGAGAGGCUUAACCAUACAACGCUCAAG